CGGCGAACGGGUGAGUAACACGUGGGUGAUCUGCCUCGUACUUCGGGAUAAGCCUGGGAAACUGGGUCUAAUACCGGAUAUGACCUCUUGUCGCAUGGCUUGGGGUGGAAAGAUUUAUCGGUACGAGAUGGGCCCGCGGCCUAUCAGCUUGUUGGUGGGGUAAUGGCCUACCAAGGCGACGACGGGUAGCCGGCCUGAGAGGGCGACCGGCCACACUGGGACUGAGACACGGCCCAGACUCCUACGGGAGGCAGCAGUGGGGAAUAUUGCACAAUGGGCGAAAGCCUGAUGCAGCGACGCCGCGUGAGGGAUGACGGCCUUCGGGUUGUAAACCUCUUUCGACAGGGACGAAGCGCAAGUGACGGUACCUGUAGAAGAAGCACCGGCCAACUACGUGCCAGCAGCCGCGGUAAUACGUAGGGUGCGAGCGUUGUCCGGAAUUACUGGGCGUAAAGAGCUUGUAGGCGGUUUGUCGCGUCGUCUGUGAAAACUCACAGCUCAACUGUGAGCUUGCAGGCGAUACGGGCAGACUUGAGUACUGCAGGGGAGACUGGAAUUCCUGGUGUAGCGGUGAAAUGCGCAGAUAUCAGGAGGAACACCGGUGGCGAAGGCGGGUCUCUGGGCAGUAACUGACGCUGAGAAGCGAAAGCGUGGGUAGCGAACAGGAUUAGAUACCCUGGUAGUCCACGCCGUAAACGGU
rnacentral:rRNA from 2 species